rnacentral:rRNA from 19 species
AGAGUUUGAUCAUGGCUCAGAUUGAACGCUGGCGGCAGGCCUAACACAUGCAAGUCGAACGGUAACAGGAAGAAGCUUGCUUCUUUGCUGACGAGUGGCGGACGGGUGAGUAAUGUCUGGGAAACUGCCUGAUGGAGGGGGAUAACUACUGGAAACGGUAGCUAAUACCGCAUAACGUCGCAAGACCAAAGAGGGGGACCUUCGGGCCUCUUGCCAUCGGAUGUGCCCAGAUGGGAUUAGCUUGUUGGUGGGGUAACGGCUCACCAAGGCGACGAUCCCUAGCUGGUCUGAGAGGAUGACCAGCCACACUGGAACUGAGACACGGUCCAGACUCCUACGGGAGGCAGCAGUGGGGAAUAUUGCACAAUGGGCGCAAGCCUGAUGCAGCCAUGCCGCGUGUAUGAAGAAGGCCUUCGGGUUGUAAAGUACUUUCAGCGGGGAGGAAGGGAGUAAAGUUAAUACCUUUGCUCAUUGACGUUACCCGCAGAAGAAGCACCGGCUAACUCCGUGCCAGCAGCCGCGGUAAUACGGAGGGUGCAAGCGUUAAUCGGAAUUACUGGGCGUAAAGCGCACGCAGGCGGUUUGUUAAGUCAGAUGUGAAAUCCCCGGGCUCAACCUGGGAACUGCAUCUGAUACUGGCAAGCUUGAGUCUCGUAGAGGGGGGUAGAAUUCCAGGUGUAGCGGUGAAAUGCGUAGAGAUCUGGAGGAAUACCGGUGGCGAAGGCGGCCCCCUGGACGAAGACUGACGCUCAGGUGCGAAAGCGUGGGGAGCAAACAGGAUUAGAUACCCUGGUAGUCCACGCCGUAAACGAUGUCGACUUGGAGGUUGUGCCCUUGAGGCGUGGCUUCCGGAGCUAACGCGUUAAGUCGACCGCCUGGGGAGUACGGCCGCAAGGUUAAAACUCAAAUGAAUUGACGGGGGCCCGCACAAGCGGUGGAGCAUGUGGUUUAAUUCGAUGCAACGCGAAGAACCUUACCUGGUCUUGACAUCCACGGAAGUUUUCAGAGAUGAGAAUGUGCCUUCGGGAACCGUGAGACAGGUGCUGCAUGGCUGUCGUCAGCUCGUGUUGUGAAAUGUUGGGUUAAGUCCCGCAACGAGCGCAACCCUUAUCCUUUGUUGCCAGCGGUCCGGCCGGGAACUCAAAGGAGACUGCCAGUGAUAAACUGGAGGAAGGUGGGGAUGACGUCAAGUCAUCAUGGCCCUUACGACCAGGGCUACACACGUGCUACAAUGGCGCAUACAAAGAGAAGCGACCUCGCGAGAGCAAGCGGACCUCAUAAAGUGCGUCGUAGUCCGGAUUGGAGUCUGCAACUCGACUCCAUGAAGUCGGAAUCGCUAGUAAUCGUGGAUCAGAAUGCCACGGUGAAUACGUUCCCGGGCCUUGUACACACCGCCCGUCACACCAUGGGAGUGGGUUGCAAAAGAAGUAGGUAGCUUAACCUUCGGGAGGGCGCUUACCACUUUGUGAUUCAUGACUGGGGUGAAGUCGUAACAAGGUAACCGUAGGGGAACCUGCGGUUGGAUCACCU